rnacentral:rRNA from 1 species
UACGUAGGGUGCGAGCGUUGUUCGGAAUUACUGGGCGUAAAGCGCACGUAGGCGGAUCGAUCAGUCAGGGGUGAAAUCCCAGAGCUCAACUCUGGAACUGCCUUUGAUACUGUCGAUCUAGAGUAUGGAAGAGGUGAGUGGAAUUCCGAGUGUAGAGGUGAAAUUCGUAGAUAUUCGGAGGAACACCAGUGGCGAAGGCGGCUCACUGGUCCAUUACUGACGCUGAGGUGCGAAAGCUAGGGGAGCAAACGGG